AAAAAUUUUUUUUAAUAAUAAAAUUGGAAUGAUAUGGAUUAGCAUGGCCCCUGCAUAAGGAAUGACAUGCAAAUUCAUGAAGCAUUAAUUAACUAA
ensembl:snRNA U6 U6 spliceosomal RNA